CAUCUAUACAUGUUAUUAAACUUGGUAUUAUUGUCUCCUGCUAACCUGUCUUGUUAAUUAUUUGGCCAGCCAUAAGAACCUUAAGGAAAAGGGCAGAGGGAGAGUCUCCCUCUACCUCGACACAUACCAGACUGGAAACCAGAAGUCUCAUAGACAUUUUUUUGACUUCUUUACGGAGAUAUAAUUGACAUUCACUCAAAAUGAAUCAAUUUCAAAGAAACACAACCAAAACUUUGAUGAAUGAAGAGACAACUGAACAUUUACAAGCCACAUUUUGGCCACUAGAUACAAGUCUUUUAUGAGUCAAUCAGGUUUCUGGACUAUCCUCCCAUGAUGCUGGAAUGAUGGACAAAAAUCUUUUAUGCCACCCCAGAUUGAGAAUGAAAUCUAUUCUUGAACCGAAGAAGAAUGCUCUAGUGGUGAGCUUCCUAACUCUAAGUUCAAAGGUGGAGGAAACACACACUACAUGUCACAUGGCCUUGUCUACGUUU